UUCGCUUUUCAGCCUUUUGGCUAAGAUCAAGUGUAGUAUCUGUUCUUAUCAGUUUAAUAUCUGAAUGCGUCCCACCUUCCAGAGAAUACAUUUCUGGGGAAGUCAUGGCCUAGUGGUUAGAGAGUUUGACUCCUA
rnacentral:snRNA from 1 species